rnacentral:rRNA from 1 species
AUUGAACGCUGGCGGCAUGCCUUACACAUGCAAGUCGAACGGCAGCACGGGUGCUUGCACCUGGUGGCGAGUGGCGAACGGGUGAGUAAUAUAUCGGAACGUACCUUAUUGUGGGGGAUAACGCAGCGAAAGCUGUGCUAAUACCGCAUAAUCCCUAAGGGGGAAAGCGGGGGACCGUAAGGCCUCGCGCAAUUAGAGCGGCCGAUACCUGAUUAGCUAGGUGGUGAGGUAAAGGCUCACCAAGGCAACGAUCAGUAGCUGGUCUGAGAGGACGAUCAGCCACACUGGGACUGAGACACGGCCCAGACGCCUACGGGAGGCAGCAGUGGGGAAUUUUGGACAAUGGGGGCAACCCUGAUCCAGCAAUGCCGCGUGAGUGAAGAAGGCCUUCGGGUUGUAAAGCUCUUUUGUCAGGGAAGAAACAGCAGCUCUAACACAGUAUGCGAAUGACGGUACCUGAAGAAUAAGCACCGGCUAACCACGUGCCAGCAGCCGCUGUAA